rnacentral:misc_RNA from 1 species
ACACCACACAUGCUGGCAGUGAUAGUGACGAGCCAUACGCUUUAACUCAGUUCAGGUCUUCUCUGUAUCCGUCUAAUCCCUUGCAAAAUGCCCAAGCUUCACGUGUUGUCAAUGUCAGUUGUCAUUGUCAUGGCAUUUAUAGUCCCAUAUGGUAUCAAAGCCAGCACCACACCUCUAGAGCUGUUAGCUUGUGAAAAGCGAACUGACGAAAAUAGUGAUACACCAGAGACUGUCUGCGGUGCUCAGAUGAACUGUUACUGCGGGGAGGGAUCAUUCGUGAACUGCAGUUUGGUCAUGAGUGGCAGUAACAUAGAUUGUGAUACACAGUGUAGCAGUUGUUCUCCCAGUUCAGGCGAAUAUGCCCCUUUCGAAAACCGAUGUACCAGUUGUCGAAAUGCAACUGUCUGUAAAGCAAAUGAAGAGGUUGAUAAAGAGGUCACUGGAAGGUCAGACAGGACUUGCCGGUGCCGUGACUGGCCCAUCCCACGUGAUGUUUGUGAGCUACACAAUUGCACUGACUUGAGUUGCCCACCCUGCCCUGAACCCAGCUCAUGUCCAACACCAACAGCUGUGGAAGUGACAGAGCAAUCUCGGUGUCCUCGUCUUGGACCUGACACAUUUGCCUCUCAGACGCCUCUAACCCUGAAGUGGUUCCAGUAUGUGCAAUGGCUGACACGUUGUACAUGAUUGGCAUUGAUGACUGCUUUUGCAUUUCGCCUGCUUGAUGUGACCUCUGCCCUUAUCAUCGGACCCACUGUUAGCCAGUGGAUAAACCUUGCAAGGAGGAUUUGCUGUAACGAAGGGGAAGACGGACAAAACGGCAAUUCACAUCAACCAGCUCCACUUCCCCAGGAAGA